GUUAAGCGACUAAGCGUACACGGUGGAUGCCCUGGCAGUCAGAGGCGAUGAAGGACGUGCUAAUCUGCGAUAAGCGUCGGUAAGGUGAUAUGAACCGUUAUAACCGGCGAUUUCCGAAUGGGGAAACCCAGUGUGAUUCGUCACACUAUCAUUAACUGAAUCCAUAGGUUAAUGAGGCGAACCGGGGGAACUGAAACAUCUAAGUACCCCGAGGAAAAGAAAUCAACCGAGAUUCCCCCAGUAGCGGCGAGCGAACGGGGAGCAGCCCAGAGCCUGAAUCAGUGUGUGUGUUAGUGGAAGCGUCUGGAAAGGCGCGCGAUACAGGGUGACAGCCCCGUACACAAAAAUGCACAUGCUGUGAGCUCGAUGAGUAGGGCGGGACACGUGGUAUCCUGUCUGAAUAUGGGGGGACCAUCCUCCAAGGCUAAAUACUCCUGACUGACCGAUAGUGAACCAGUACCGUGAGGGAAAGGCGAAAAGAACCCCGGCGAGGGGAGUGAAAAAGAACCUGAAACCGUGUACGUACAAGCAGUGGGAGCACGCUUAGGCGUGUGACUGCGUACCUUUUGUAUAAUGGGUCAGCGACUUAUAUUCUGUAGCAAGGUUAACCGAAUAGGGGAGCCGAAGGGAAACCGAGUCUUAACUGGGCGUUAAGUUGCAGGGUAUAGACCCGAAACCCGGUGAUCUAGCCAUGGGCAGGUUGAAGGUUGGGUAACACUAACUGGAGGACCGAACCGACUAAUGUUGAAAAAUUAGCGGAUGACUUGUGGCUGGGGGUGAAAGGCCAAUCAAACCGGGAGAUAGCUGGUUCUCCCCGAAAGCUAUUUAGGUAGCGCCUCGUGAAUUCAUCUCCGGGGGUAGAGCACUGUUUCGGCAAGGGGGUCAUCCCGACUUACCAACCCGAUGCAAACUGCGAAUACCGGAGAAUGUUAUCACGGGAGACACACGGCGGGUGCUAACGUCCGUCGUGAAGAGGGAAACAACCCAGACCGCCAGCUAAGGUCCCAAAGUCAUGGUUAAGUGGGAAACGAUGUGGGAAGGCCCAGACAGCCAGGAUGUUGGCUUAGAAGCAGCCAUCAUUUAAAGAAAGCGUAAUAGCUCACUGGUCGAGUCGGCCUGCGCGGAAGAUGUAACGGGGCUAAACCAUGCACCGAAGCUGCGGCAGCGACGCUGAUGCGUUGUUGGGUAGGGGAGCGUUCUGUAAGCCUGCGAAGGUGUGCUGUGAGGCAUGCUGGAGGUAUCAGAAGUGCGAAUGCUGACAUAAGUAACGAUAAAGCGGGUGAAAAGCCCGCUCGCCGGAAGACCAAGGGUUCCUGUCCAACGUUAAUCGGGGCAGGGUGAGUCGACCCCUAAGGCGAGGCCGAAAGGCGUAGUCGAUGGGAAACAGGUUAAUAUUCCUGUACUUGGUGUUACUGCGAAGGGGGGACGGAGAAGGCUAUGUUGGCCGGGCGACGGUUGUCCCGGUUUAAGCGUGUAGGCUGGUUUUCCAGGCAAAUCCGGAAAAUCAAGGCUGAGGCGUGAUGACGAGGCACUACGGUGCUGAAGCAACAAAUGCCCUGCUUCCAGGAAAAGCCUCUAAGCAUCAGGUAACAUCAAAUCGUACCCCAAACCGACACAGGUGGUCAGGUAGAGAAUACCAAGGCGCUUGAGAGAACUCGGGUGAAGGAACUAGGCAAAAUGGUGCCGUAACUUCGGGAGAAGGCACGCUGAUAUGUAGGUGAAGUCCCUCGCGGAUGGAGCUGAAAUCAGUCGAAGAUACCAGCUGGCUGCAACUGUUUAUUAAAAACACAGCACUGUGCAAACACGAAAGUGGACGUAUACGGUGUGACGCCUGCCCGGUGCCGGAAGGUUAAUUGAUGGGGUCAGCGCAAGCGAAGCUCUUGAUCGAAGCCCCGGUAAACGGCGGCCGUAACUAUAACGGUCCUAAGGUAGCGAAAUUCCUUGUCGGGUAAGUUCCGACCUGCACGAAUGGCGUAAUGAUGGCCAGGCUGUCUCCACCCGAGACUCAGUGAAAUUGAACUCGCUGUGAAGAUGCAGUGUACCCGCGGCAAGACGGAAAGACCCCGUGAACCUUUACUAUAGCUUGACACUGAACAUUGAGCCUUGAUGUGUAGGAUAGGUGGGAGGCUUUGAAGUGUGGACGCCAGUCUGCAUGGAGCCGACCUUGAAAUACCACCCUUUAAUGUUUGAUGUUCUAACGUUGACCCGUGAUCCGGGUUGCGGACAGUGUCUGGUGGGUAGUUUGACUGGGGCGGUCUCCUCCUAAAGAGUAACGGAGGAGCACGAAGGUUGGCUAAUCCUGGUCGGACAUCAGGAGGUUAGUGCAAUGGCAUAAGCCAGCUUGACUGCGAGCGUGACGGCGCGAGCAGGUGCGAAAGCAGGUCAUAGUGAUCCGGUGGUUCUGAAUGGAAGGGCCAUCGCUCAACGGAUAAAAGGUACUCCGGGGAUAACAGGCUGAUACCGCCCAAGAGUUCAUAUCGACGGCGGUGUUUGGCACCUCGAUGUCGGCUCAUCACAUCCUGGGGCUGAAGUAGGUCCCAAGGGUAUGGCUGUUCGCCAUUUAAAGUGGUACGCGAGCUGGGUUUAGAACGUCGUGAGACAGUUCGGUCCCUAUCUGCCGUGGGCGCUGGAGAACUGAGGGGGGCUGCUCCUAGUACGAGAGGACCGGAGUGGACGCAUCACUGGUGUUCGGGUUGUCAUGCCAAUGGCACUGCCCGGUAGCUAAAUGCGGAAGAGAUAAGUGCUGAAAGCAUCUAAGCACGAAACUUGCC
rnacentral:rRNA from 1 species